CCGGAAGCCGCGGCACAACGGGAGCGAGUGCUGAGGACAGCUCCGCCGGAGCAGUAGAGUGUUCAGAAGAGAGAAGAGAGACGGCGGCCGUGAACUGGCUUUCUAUGGAUGGUAAAGCUGUGCUGAGAACUGGGCUGACUAUUGCAGCUGAAAAUGCGUGCCAAGUGUGCAGAUGCAGAGGAAUAACGUUUCCCUGUAGGUGGAGCUUGUGUAAGUGAUUUUUUAGCCGGGAGAGAUUGGAGGUGCUGUUUGGUGAUGGAAGACGUAGAGAGG